rnacentral:rRNA from 1 species
UACGUAGGGGGCUAGCGUUGUCCGGAAUCAUUGGGCGUAAAGCGCGUGUAGGCGGUUCGGUAAGUCCGCUGUGAAAGUCGGGGGCUCAACCCUCGGAUGCCGGUGGAUACUGUCGAACUAGAGUGCGGAAGAGGCGAGUGGAAUUCCUGGUGUAGCGGUGAAAUGCGCAGAUAUCAGGAGGAACACCAAUUGCGAAGGCAGCUCGCUGGGACGUUACUGACGCUGAGACGCGAAAGCGUGGGGAGCAAACAGG